rnacentral:lncRNA from 1 species
GGGGUUGUGAGUGCCAGAGGAUAGAAGGGUAGAGGAGAAAGAAAAAGGAUAAGAAGGAAAAAAAUACUCUUAGAAUUCCGUUUAUUUCCUGCUUCUCUUCCAGUAGGUGGAAUUGUCUAUUUUAAGCUUGAAUCUCUGCCCUCAGGGUGGUGUAGGUAACCAGGGUGAGAAGACUUGAGUCCCCCCCCCCCCAACACCCCUAUCAUCUUCCCUCUCCUGCCUGGUUUUAGACUCUCUGUUGCUUAUCAGGUCCCAACUUCAGGACCUCUCGCAGUUGGUGGUUCACACCAGGUGGGCAGCGCCCUGGUGGCACUGCGCUUCUGUUCUACUGAGAGAAAUUUUUGUGCUGGGUAGUCACUGUGCCGAGUUUUUGCAGAUGGGGGGAGGGGGAGUUAGAAACCAGGUACCUCUUCAGUUGGAGAUCUGCACCCAUGCCCACCAAAAAAUGGUGAGAAAGGUUUUCUAAAAUGGAGUUGGUCUGCUUCCAGCACCUGGGUGUCUGGUGAGGUGGGGGUAGCUGGGAUGUCCUUGUGCUGUGGCUAGAACGCAGUCAGGUGACCUGCGUCGGAGUGGAGCGCAGUCUAGAGUUCUGCAGAGGUGCCGAUUUAGUGAUUCUGCUACGCCGCCGCUUGAGAGCUGUGUGUAUGCUCGAACUGCGGGCUUUGGGUCUGGAGUCUGGAAUCUUAGUGGAACACAGAGGCUCUGCUUUCUGCAUAGGUAGUCGCAGCACUGGUUGUUUCUGUGAAAAUCUGUUGUUUAGGGGUCCUGUCGCAUGCUCUGAGAUGUUGUAUUCCGUCUAGGGAGACCUUGUGGAGAAGCUGCCUGACUGCUUCCUUGGAUUCAUGCACAGAGCAGCCAGAAACAGUUUCUCUUCUAUUCCAUCAUCUUGGAUCCCCCCACAUGCCCUUUUUUUUUUUUUUUUUUUUAACUUUGAGACAGGAUCUCACUAAGUUCCCUAGUUUAUGAUCUUCCUGUCUCAACCUCCAGAGCUGCUGGAAUUACACUGUAUCCAGCACAGUUCCUUUUUAUUUUUUAAAUAGUACUGGGGAUUGAACCCAGGGGUACUUUACCACUGAACUACAUCCCCAGCCCUUUUUUAAAAUUUUGAGACAGGGUCUUAAGUUGCCCAGGCUGGCUUUGAACUUGUGUACUCCACCAUGCCUGAUAUGUCUUUUUUUAAAAAAGACAAACCAUCUGCCUUUAUGAUAAAUGACAUUCUUAGUGGGGUCACAUUUGUUUUACACACACACACACACACAAGGAAUUCUUUAUUUUGAGACAGUGUCUCAAAAUAAAUAAAUAAAUAAAUAAAUAAAUAAAUAAAUAAAUAAAUUUGUAGAUGAAUACUUUUAUUUUUACGUGGUGCUGAGGAUCAACCAAAUGCCUCACGCGUGCUAGACAAGUUAUUUACUGCUGAGCCCCAGCCCAUCAUAUCUACUUUGAACAGCUGUCAGGUAGGUCAUUAAAUAUUAACCUCUAUGUCUUUUUAAUACUUUGUUUUUUGGCUCAGAUUUGACAAAGGUUUUUUUUUGUGUGUGUGUGUGUGUGUGUGUGUGGUUGUUUAUAGGCAAGAACAUGGAUUGAGGCUGAUUUAAAAGUGAAAGAAUCUGUGUCAAUCUAAGUUUACAGUUGAAAAUCUUCCCCAUAACAUAUUCCCCUUGAAUUGUUUGGAACUGUGUAUCUAUGACUAUUUGCAUUUUAUUACCUUAUUUGCAUUCUAAAGGAUGUUUUGCUCCACACUCUAUCUGUAUAGCGCCUGUUCAUAACAUCUGUCAUGAGUCUAAUUCACUAUAUAUAUAACCAUUUCUUAAUAGCAUUUAAAUCAUCAUUCUGGUCUUGCAAACAGAAUUAUCUUUACUACAUCAAGGAGAAGGAUGAGGAUGCAAAAUUAACUCCAUUGGUUUCCAUGUUACACAUUCAAAAUAUUUAUCACCAGAAUGUUGGAUUCAUGAGCUCUUGACACCACGCGUACUAUGCUCAUGUUAUCACAUAUUGCCCGGGAGACCUGGCUGCUGGCAGAAGAAACAAGAUCAGUGGGUGAAAUGGAAACUAGAUAUAUCCAUUGUUGAUAUUAAAUUAGAACCCAACAAAACUAUAAGUAUUUAUCCCAAUUGGUUCUUUAAUCAUACUCUUAAAUAUUGAGUAACUGCAUAGAUCCAGCCAAGUUAUACUGAGUAUCAUCUGAAGGAGUAGCAAUCCCAAUCUGCUCAUGGGGUUACAGCCUUGUUGACCACCUUUGUACUAUGGUAAGUAGAAGUGGUAUCCCCUUUCUCUCGAGUAUGCAUAGACAAGUAAUAACUUCCUAAGGAGCUGGGGUACAGUUCAGUGCUAGACCUCAUACAUUGCAUAUACAAGUCCCUAGAUUCAGUCUCCAGCACAAACAAAACAAACAAAAGAAAAAUCCCCAAACUGGUAAAUCUACAGAUUCAAAAAGCUGAUCAAACCCAAACAUGUUAAACUCUUAAGAAAUUCACACUAAAAACAUCAUAAUCAAGUCUCUGAAAACUAAAGACAAAGAAAAUAACUUUAAAUCAGAGAAUAGCACAUUUUAUAGAAUGACAGAUUUGAAUGACAAUGGAUUUCUCAGUAGUCAAAGCCAUCUUGACCAAAACGAACAAAUCUGGAGAUAUGACAAUACUGUUUCAAAAUACAUUACACAGAGAUCUGGUAAUCAAAAGAUCAUAGUAUUGGCAUAAAAACAAGACACAUCAAUCAAUGAAAUAGGUAGUAUUUAGAGCCCAGAAGUAAGCACACAUUUAUGGUUAGUUAAUCUUUUUUGCGAGGGUACCAGGAAUUGAACUCAGGGGCACUCAACCACUGAGCCACAUCCGCAGCCCUAUUUUGUAUUUUAUUUAGAGACAGGGUUUCAAUGAGUUGCUAAGUGCCUUGCCAUUGCUGAGGCUGACUUUGAACUCGCAAUCCUCCUGCCUCAUUUUUGACAAAGUUGCCAAGAACACAUAAUGGGGAAAUAACAGGCUCUUUAAUAAUUAGUAUUGGGAAACCUGGAUAUCCAUAUGCCGAAGAAUGAAAUUAGAUCUAUCUCACACCUUAUAUAAAACCCCAAAGUGUAAAACUCUACUAGAAGAAAAUAAAGGGUGAAAGCUCCAUGACAUUGGUCUGGUCAGAGAUUUCUUGGAUAAAAUUCCAAACUCAGAGGCAAUAAAAGCAAAAAUUGAAAAAUGGUAUUGCAUCAAACUGAAAAGUUUUUGCAUAGCAAAGGAAAUAAUUAACAGGGUGAAGAGAAAAAACCACAAAUUGGGAGAAAAUAUUUGCAAAUUAUAUAUCAGAUAAGUGACUAAUAUCCAAAUAGAUAAUAGAGCUGAAAUAACUCAAUAAGAAAAUAAAUCACCCUAUGAAAAACAGGAACAAAUGACCUGAAUAGACCUAUCCCCAAAACACAUACAUAAAUAGCUAACAAAUAUAAGAAAAAAUGCUUAAUAUUUUGCAUCAAAGAAAUGGAAAUUAAAAUACAAGUAUCACCUCACAUUUGUUAGAAUGGCUAUUGUCAAAAAGACUAAAGAUAACAAGUGUUGACAAAGGUGUGGAAAAAAGGGAACACUUGUAAAGUGUUGGUUGAAACUGUAAAUUGGUACAUUAUUGUGGAAAACAGUAUGGAAGUUCCUCAAAACAUUAAAAAUAGAUUUACUAUAUGAUAUAGUAAUCUACUUCUGGGUAUAUAUCCAAAGGAAUGGAGAUAAGUUAAGAGAUACCUGUACUCCCUUGUUCAUUGAGACAUUCUUCACAAUAUCCGAAAUAUGGGAUAAACCUAAGUGUACAUCAAUGGAUUAAGGAAGAAAAUGUGGUAUAUAUAUAUACAUGGAAUACUAUUCAGGAAAAUAAGGACGUUUGUCAUUAUUUUGAUGUCUUUUCGUGUCUAUUGCAAGUGCUGUGACUCCAAGAUGAAUCAGCAUGGAUUCAUCAUGUCACUAUGUGACAUUUAUGCUAAGUGAAACAAACCAGAUACAGAAAGACAAAUACUGUUUGAUUUCAAUUAUAUAUAGAAUCUAGAACAAAACUGAACUCAUUGAAGUAGAGAGUAGAAUGGCAAUUGAGUGUGGGGUGUAGAAGGGGAAUGGGAAAAUGUAGUCAAAACGUACAAAGUUUUAGACAGGAAUAAAUUUUGGAGAUCUUUGGUGCAUUAUUGAUGUCUACAGUUAGUAGUAAUUAAUUCUUUGCAAAUUUCCAAAAGUAGAUUUUAAAUGUUUUCAUCUCAAAAAAUUAUGUGAGGUGAUGAAUAUGUUAAUUAGUUUGAUUUAAUUAUAUACAAAUGUAUACAUACAUGAAGACAUACAUAAUAUAUACAAUUAUUUGUGAAUCAUGGAUUUAAAAAUAAAGUUUUAUGUCCUGAUCAAAACAAAG